rnacentral:rRNA from 1 species
GGGUUUACUCAUUGGUCAGGCUUAAUUGUCUGUACUGGUGAGAUGGAUCUCUACCUUCUGAGGAACUUUCAUACCAUUUAUUUGGUGUGAUGGGAAAUCAGGACUGUUACUUUGAAAAAAUUAGAGUGUUUAAAGCAGGCUAACGUCUGAAUACAUUAGCAUGGAAUAAUGAAAUAGGACGGACUGAUCCUAUUUCGUUGGUUUCUAGAGUCGCCGUA